GAUCCCGUAGUGUAGCGGUUAUCACGUCGCCCUGUCACGGCGAAGAUCGCGGGUUCGAUUCCCGUCGGGACCG
rnacentral:tRNA from 2 species